rnacentral:rRNA from 1 species
CAUCACUACGCUAGAUGCAUAUCAAUAAGCGGAGGAAAAGAAACUAACUAAGGAUUCCCUCAGUAACGGCGAGUGAAGCGGGAAGAGCUCAAAUUUGAAAUCUUCAAGGUUUUACCUUGACGAAUUGUAGUUUAAAGAAGUGUUUUCUGUUGGAGUUUUGGUAAAAGUUCUUUGGAAUAGGACAUCAUAGAGGGUGAGAAUCCCGUAUUUGACCAGUUACUUUCCAGCUUUGUGAUACACUUUCAAAGAGUCGGAUUGUUUGGGAAUGCAGUCCAAAAUGGGUGGUAAAUUUCAUCUAAAGCUAAAUAUUGGCGAGAGACCGAUAGCGAACAAGUACCGUGAGGAAAGAUGAAAAGAACUUUGAAAAGAGAGUUAAACAGUACGUGAAAUUGUCAAAAGGGAAGCGUUUGACACCAGUGUUGUUUUCUCGAAAAUCAAUUAAAAAUGGAUGGGAUUUUGUGUUGUAUUGACUUUAUCAGCUUUCUGCACUUUUUUUCCUAUCUUUUUUAAUGCACUUUUCGUUUAACAAGUCAACAUCAAUUUCUUUUGUUGUAAAAGAGUCAUUGGAAGGUGGCUUUCUUUUCGGAGAAAGUGUUUAUAGCCUUUGGCUUCUGCAAUCGGAGAGAUUGAGGUCUGCAGCGUAGAUCCUUCGGGGUUAGAUACAUUUGUGCUAAGUUAUAGCCUUUCAUAGACAACUUGUUGACUAUGAUCAGUCAUGUAGCUUACUCGCUUAUGCUAUUUUACCUACGCUUAGGAUGUUGAUAUGCAUGACUGAUAU